CAGGUGCUGCAUUGGCUGUCGUUCAGCUCGUGUCGUGAGAUGUUGGGUUAAGUCCCGUAACGAGCGCAACCCUUGUCCUUAGUUACCAGCACGUUAUGGUGGGCACUCUAAGGAGACUGCCGGUGACAAACCGGGAGGAAGGUGGGGAUGACGUCAAGUCAUCAUGGCCCUUACGGCCUGGGCUACACACGUGCUACAAUGGUCGGUACAAAGGGUUGCCAAGCCGCGAGGUGGAGCUAAUCCCAUAAAACCGAUCGUAGUCCGGAUCGCAGUCUGCAACUCGACUGCGUGAAGUCGGAAUCGCUAGUAAUCGCGGAUCAGCACGCCGCGGUGAAUACGUUCCCGGGCCUU
rnacentral:rRNA from 1 species